rnacentral:rRNA from 1 species
CCGUAGUUAGAUAUCGAUUGGUUUGAAAGCAACCUGCAAAGGAUGCAACUUAAACCUUUAACUUGUUACCUUGAGAAAAUGGAGGCGCCUAAGGCACGCGAUAUGUGUGAACUAUCUAGCAUGGAAUAGCACAUUUAAACUGUCAAUAAACAUGCCGAAUGUUUGUUGAUUAGGAUGAUUGAUAAGGGCAGUCGGGGACACUUGUACUUGCUGGAGAGAGGUGAAAUUCUGAGACCCGGCAAAGACACUCAAAUGCGAAAGCUUUUGUCCAGAAUGUUCCUGUUAAUCAAGGACUAAAGUUGGGGGAUCGAAGACGAAAACAUGCCGUCGUAGUCCCAACCGUAAACCAUGCCGACUGAUCGUUGGUUAGAAGUCUGUAUUCUUUUCAGCGUUCGAAAGAAAUUGAAGUUUUUGGGCCCUGGGGGGAGUAUGGUUGCAAGACUGAAACUUAAAGGAAUUGACGGAAGGGCACCACCAGGAGUGGAGCUUGCGGCUUAAUUCGACUCAACGCGUGAAAUUUUACCAGGUCCGGACAUAGUUAUGAUUGACAAACUAAAAGAUUUUUCUAAAUUCUAUGGGUGGUGGUGCAUGGCCGUUCUUAGUCGGUGAGGUGACUUGUCUGGUUUAUUCCGAUAACGGACGAGACCUUGACCUUUAAUUCUCGACUGUUAUCUUAAAUGGAAGAGUCUUAAAGGGACUCAAUGUUCCAAACAUUGGGAAGAUCAAGGCAAUAACAGGUCUGUGAUGCCCUUAGAUAACCUGGGCUGCACGUGUGCUACAAUAACAUGCACAACGAGUACCAAUAUCGAAACGAUGUUGUGAAUCUUCAAAGCGUGUUAAGGU